rnacentral:rRNA from 1 species
UACGGAGGGUCCAAGCGUUAUCCGGAAUCAUUGGGUUUAAAGGGUUCGCAGGCGGUUUAUUAAGUCAGUGGUGAAAGCCUACAGCUCAACUGUAGAACUGCCAUUGAUACUGAUAGACUUGAAUUUAGUUGAAGUAGGCGGAAUGUGUAGUGUAGCGGUGAAAUGCUUAGAUAUUACACAGAACACCGAUAGCGAAGGCAGCUUACUAAACUACGAUUGACGCUCAUGAACGAAAGCGUGGGGAGCGAACAGG